CUCAGAAUUCUUAUUAAUUCACAUGUGCCCCCCAAAAUACGCAGUGUGACAAACUGAAUGUGCUGCUCAGUGCACUGAAUGGGAAACAGGAACAAAUGCAGAGCUGUGUCCUUGUCUCAUUAACAAGGAUGCUCUCUCAACAAAACAGCAGGCAAACACUGUGAAUUCUGCUUAAGUAGAGUAAGGUGGCUGUGUAUAUGCUAGUGUCAUUGCUUAGAUGAAGCUGGUAUGGAGGAACCAAAUCAAACUUAUCUUCAGUGCCUGAGCUGGGCAGGUUCUGAAAGGCUCACUGAUGGCAGCUUGCUGUAGGCAACUGACCAACUUGGAGAGAGAUCUGCUUUCUUGCUACAAAUUUUCCCUUGUUCUGUGCUCUCUUAAGUCACUCACGUACACAUGGCAAUUGAGUAUUGCCCGAGAUGUAAAGCAGCAGAACUCAUCGUAUCUCUCAGAAUGUAUGUGUUAUUUUUAGCCUAAGUAUUUUGCAUCUUCAGUUACUCUUUCCUAAGGCUUUUGUGUUUUAUCUCAUAAGGUUUUGUGAUACGAUCAUCCAACAUCAGAGCUAUAGCGGUAGUAGCAAGGCCAUCUUGACUAAAUUUUUCAGCCCCAGGCAAUGUUGUUCAGGCUGUGUGAGUAAGAGCAGGACUGGGCUUCGGUGUUCUUUGGACUGCUGCAUAGUUAACACGUGAACUCAAGGUAUGACAUAGGUACUGGGAAGACCACUCAGUCAGUCACUUUCUUUGUUUGUCGUGAGUUGUCUGUUUGUCCCAAGUGUAAAUUUCCUAACCAUCAUCAUAGGUCUUGUGCUAUUGCAGCCACUUCAUCGUUUAUGUGGCACCAAGAUUUUUCACACACUUUCUCCCACAGCUUUGCCCCUCUCAUUUGAGCUUGUGUUGGUGAGGUGGGUAUUGCCUUUUUCUUUUUCCUUCCCAUCAGGCAAAAAUUAUGCUGGAGUAGAGGAUUUCUCCAAGCUCAAGGGAUGAAUCAGUGGUUGGAUUAUUGUAGUCCUAUGUUUUCUGACUUUUCAUGCAUGCUUUUUUUUUAUAGGCUUUGCUAUUCAAAACCUGCCCCUGCCUUCUGGCACCUUCUUAAUUUCUCCAGCAGGGCCAGAUCCUUUGUGCUGUCUGCCUAUCAGACCUCCAACUGAAAUUACUGAACUCUUCCACGGGUUUUACAUUUUCAGCUUAGAUGAUGGGCACAGUACAAAGCAGUGUGAGUAGCAGCUGCUUUUUUUCUGUGCUGUUCCAGUUCUGACUAUCCCGCUCUGGCUGAACUGCACGAGGUUAUGUUCUAUGGUGAUAAAUGUGAG
ensembl:lncRNA